GGGGCUGAUUCUGGAUUCGACGAGUUUGCGAGAGCAAGGUGCAUGCCGAGGGCGGUUGGCCUCGUAAAGCCCAGCAAAAAUGGUCGCAAACGACGAAAACUACGCUUUAGCAACUUAAUAACCUGCUUAGAGCCCCUCUCUCCCACAACCUCCGCUCUUAGGACGGGAUCCAGAGGUCAAACCCAAAAAGAGAUCGCGCGGAUGCCCUGCACGAGGGUUGAAGCGUUAAACGAAUCAGGCUAGUCUGGUAAUUGUGGCGUGUCCGUCCUGCAGGUGCCGGGGCAGCGAGAAUGUAAGGAACUUGACUAAGCAUGUAGUACCGAGGAUGUAGAAUUUCGGACGCGGGUUCAACUCCCGCCAGCUCCU
rnacentral:tmRNA from 1 species